GGCUCAGGAUGAACGCUGGCGGCGUGCCUAAUACAUGCAAGUCGAGCGAAUGGAUUAAGAGCUUGCUCUUAUGAAGUUAGCGGCGGACGGGUGAGUAACACGUGGGUAACCUGCCCAUAAGACUGGGAUAACUCCGGGAAACCGGGGCUAAUACCGGAUAACAUUUUGAACCGCAUGGUUCGAAAUUGAAAGGCGGCUUCGGCUGUCACUUAUGGAUGGACCCGCGUCGCAUUAGCUAGUUGGUGAGGUAACGGCUCACCAAGGCAACGAUGCGUAGCCGACCUGAGAGGGUGAUCGGCCACACUGGGACUGAGACACGGCCCAGACUCCUACGGGAGGCAGCAGUAGGGAAUCUUCCGCAAUGGACGAAAGUCUGACGGAGCAACGCCGCGUGAGUGAUGAAGGCUUUCGGGUCGUAAAACUCUGUUGUUAGGGAAGAACAAGUGCUAGUUGAAUAAGCUGGCACCUUGACGGUACCUAACCAGAAAGCCACGGCUAACUACGUGCCAGCAGCCGCGGUAAUACGUAGGUGGCAAGCGUUAUCCGGAAUUAUUGGGCGUAAAGCGCGCGCAGGUGGUUUCUUAAGUCUGCAUGUGAAAGCCCACGGCUCAACCGUGGAGGGUCAUUGGAAACUGGGAGACUUGAGUGCAGAAGAGGAAAGUGGAAUUCCAUGUGUAGCGGUGAAAUGCGUAGAGAUAUGGAGGAACACCAGUGGCGAAGGCGACUUUCUGGUCUGUAACUGACACUGAGGCGCGAAAGCGUGGGGAGCAAAACAGGAUUAGAUACCCUGGUAGUCCCCGCCGUAAACGAUGAGUGCUAAAGUGUUAGAGGGUUUCCGCCCUUUAGUGCUGAGUUUACCGCAUAAACACUCCGCCUGGGGAGUACGGCCGCAGGGUGAACUCAAAGGA
rnacentral:rRNA from 2 species